rnacentral:rRNA from 1 species
GUCGAGCGACAGACAAGGAGCUUGCUCCUUUGACGUUAGCGGCGGAGGGCUGUUACACGUGGGUAACCUACCUAUAAGACUGGGAUAACUACGAGGAAACCGGAGCUAAUACCGGAUAAUAUUUCGAACCGCAUGGUUCGAUAGUGAAAGAUGGUUUUGCUAUCACUUAUAGAUGGACCCGCGCCGUAUUAGCUAGUUGGUAAGGUAACGGCUUACCAAGGCGACGAUACGUAGCCGACCUGAGAGGGUGAUCGGCCACACUGGAACUGAGACACGGUCCAGACUCCUACGGGAGGCAGCAGUAGGGAAUCUUCCGCAAUG